rnacentral:rRNA from 1 species
AACGAACGUUGGCGGCGUGGAUUAGGCAUGCAAGUCGCACGAGCCUGCGCGGGGCAACCCGCGCAGGAAAGUGGCGAAAGGGGCAGUAAGGCGUGGGUAACCUGCCCCGGAGUUCGGAAUAGCCCCCCUAACGGGGGGGUAAUACCGAAUGCCGUCGCCGGGGGGCAUCCCCCGGGGACGAAAGCUCCGGCGCUCCGGGAGGGGCUCACGUGGUAUUAGCUAGUUGGUGCGGUGACGGCGCACCAAGGCCGAGAUGCCUAGCGGGUGUGAGAGCACGACCCGCGCCACUGGCACUGGGACACUGGCCAGACUCCUACGGGAGGCUGCAGUCGAGGAUCUUCGGCAAUGGGCGCAAGCCUGACCGAGCGACGCCGCGUGGGCGAUGAAGGCCUUCGGGUUGUAAAGCCCUGUCGCGGGGGGGGAAAACCGACCCCCCCCGGGAGGAAGCACGGGCUAAGUUCGUGCCAGCCGCCGCAGUAAAAC